rnacentral:lncRNA from 1 species
CUGGCCCCACCCCACUCCAUUCCAUUCCUGCCCCCCACCUCCAUCCCACCAACCGCCACUUUACCCACCAUUCCCCCAUCCCCUCUCCCUGCUCCUAUUCCUGAAGCCCUCUGGUGCUUGUGUCCUGAGAUCCUGAGGGUGUCCCCAUGUGCUCUCCUGUCCUGAAGCAGACGUGGACAGUGGAAGCUACUUCUUCUAAGUGGGCUGAUCUCAUGGCCAUGGUAACAGGCACGUGCCUAGGUCCAGACAGAAAGACCUGGCAGCAACCUCAGGUUCAUCUUCAGCCCUCUUUUCAAGUUUGAUCUCACCCACCCGUGGCCACUGCACACUGUGUCCUGAAGGUCAGUUGCUGCCCAAAGUGCCAGGAGAUUUCAUGUCUACUGAAGGGCUCACUCUCUGCUCCAAAAAAUUGAUUCUACCAUGAGGAAAAGAAGGAACACUGGAAAUCACAUGGCAGGAGAAUGGAAGCUUUUCCAAAAAUUGUGAUGAAGCAGGCAGGCCUUCAACCUAUAAGACAGUGCUUGUUCAAAAUUGAGCGAAGACAGACCUUACUCAGCCUGCUUAUUCAAAAAUCAAUAUUGUGCUCGCUUCGGCAGCACAUAUACAAAAAUCAAUAUCAUCUGGAAACACCCUCAAAUUCACAACCAGAAAAAAUACUUAGCAAGCUGCCUCAUUAUCCUUCCUGUGUAGCCCCAGUACUGGGAAUUGAACCCAGGAAGUUCACACUGAG